rnacentral:rRNA from 1 species
UGAUUGAUAACAUUUGAGUGAGUGGCGAACGGGUGAGUAACACGUGGACAACCUGCCUCAAGGCUGGGGAUAACAUUUGGAAACAGAUGCUAAUACCGCAUAAAACCUAACACCGCAUGGUGUAGGGUUGAAAGAUGGUUUCGGCUAUCACUUUAGGAUGGACCCGCGGUGCAUUAGUUAGUUGGUGAGGUAAAGGCUCACCAAGACCGUGAUGCAUAGCCGACCUGAGAGGGUAAUCGGCCACACUGGGACUGAGACACGGCCCAAACUCC